UACGUAGGAGGCGAGCGUUGUCCGGAGUUACUGGGCGUAAAGCGCACGCAGGCGGUCUGCUCAGUUUGGAGUGACAGUUGGUGGCUUAACUGCCAAAGUGCUUCGAAAACUGACAGACUUGAGGGCUUCAGAGGGACACGGAAUUCCGGGUGGAGUGGUGAAAUGCGUAGAGAUCCGGAGGAACACCAAAGGCGAAGGCAGUGUCCUGGGGAGUACCUGACGCUCAGGUGCGAAAGCCAGGGGAGCGAACGGG
rnacentral:rRNA from 1 species